AUUGAACGCUGGCGGCGUGCCUAAUACAUGCAAGUCGAACGGAGUGGCGCACGGGUUAGUAAUGUAUAUCUAAUCUGACCUCCACUAGAGGACAACACUUGGAAACGACUGCUAAUACUCUAUAGUGUAGGAUGAGGCUAUAUUGUAUCAGCUAGUUGGUGAGGUAAUGGCUCACCAAGGCUAUGACGAAUAACUGGUCUGAGAGGAUGAGCAGUCACACUGGAACUGAGACACGUUCGAGACUCCUGCGGGAGGCAGCAGUAGGGAAUAUUGCUCAAUGGGGGAGACCCUGAAGCAGCAUCGCCGCGUGGAGGAUGACACUUUUCGGAGCGUAAACUCCUUUUGUUAGGGAAGCGGUACCUAACGAAUAAGCACCGGCUAACUCCGUGCCAGCAGCCGCGGUAAUUC
rnacentral:rRNA from 1 species